UACGUAGGUGGCAAGCGUUGUCCGGAAUUAUUGGGCGUAAAGGGCGCGUAGGCGGUACCUUAAGUCAGAUGUGAAAUCCCGAGGCUCAACUUCGGUAGUGCAUUUGUAAACUAGGGGAACGUAGAGUGCAGGAGAGGUAAGUGGAAUUCCUAGUGUAGCGGUGAAAUGCGUAGAUAUUAGGAGGAACACCAGUGGCGAAGGCGACUUACUGGACUGUAACUGACGCUGAGGCGCG
rnacentral:rRNA from 1 species